UGCCGUUUUUACAAAUGACUUCAAAGUUCAUGUCAUUUUUUUGUAUUUUUUAAAGUUAGUGUCAUUUUUACAAAUGACUCCAAAGUUCGGGCCAUUUUUACAAAUGAUUUCAAAGUUCAUGCUAUUUUUUUGUAUUUUUCAAAGUUCAGGCUAUUUUUACAAAUGAUUUCAAAGUUUAAUCUAUUUUUUUUUAUAUUUUUUAAAGUUCGAGCCAUAUUUACAAAUGACUCUAAAGUUCAGGUCAUAAACUACAAUUAACCCCUUUUCUAUUAGAUUAUCUGUAAAUGUGUGAUAAAAAACGAUGAUAAAUCUUACCCCACAUUUUUAACGAUUAUUAAUUAUUUAUUUCUUCAUUUAAUGACUCAAAUCCAAAACGAUCAAAUAUUUCAUGUGCUCGACAUUGUUUG
rnacentral:lncRNA from 1 species